AAAAACAUUUCCUGAUUUAUUUUAGGUAGAACCUGCUCCCUGAAUUUUUUAAAAGCCGCCGUAUCCUAACUGUGGUAAGGUAGCAUAAUCCUUUGUUAUUUAAAUGAUAACUAGUAUGAAUGGUUUGACGAGAAAACAACUUUCUAAAAAGAAAAGAUGAAAAUUUUUUUUAAAGUAAAAAAGCUUUACAACUUUAGAAAGACGAGAAGACCCUAGAACCUAUUCUAUCUAUAUAGUUUGUUGGGGUGACAUUAUUCAAAACAAAUAACUAUUAAAACUUAUUGACUGACUGCAUCUAUCUUUUAUUAAAAAAAAAAGGU
rnacentral:rRNA from 1 species